rnacentral:rRNA from 1 species
GACGAACGCUGGCGGCGUGCUUAACACAUGCAAGUCGAACGGUAAGGCCUUCGGGUACACGAGUGGCGAACGGGUGAGUAACACGUGGGUGAUCUGCCCUGCACUUUGGGAUAAGCCUGGGAAACUGGGUCUAAUACCGGAUAGGACUACGCACUGCAUGGUGUGUGGUGGAAAGCUUUUGCGGUGUGGGAUGGGCCCGCGGCCUAUCAGCUUGUUGGUGGGGUGAUGGCCUACCAAGGCGACGACGGGUAGCCGGCCUGAGAGGGUGUCCGGCCACACUGGGACUGAGAUACGGCCCAGACUCCUACGGGGGGCAGCAGUGGGGAAUAUUGCACAAUGGGCGCAAGCCUGAUGCAGCGACGCCGCGUGGGGGAUGACGGCCUUCGGGUUGUAAACCUCUUUCAGCACAGACGAAGCGCGAGUGACGGUAUGUGCAGAAGAAGGACCGGCCAACUACGUGCCAGCCGCCGCCGUAA